CUGACCGCUGGCGGCGUGCCUAAUAACAUCAAGUCGAGCGAACAGACGAGGAGCUUGCUCCUAUGACGUUAGCGGCGGACGGGGGAGCAACACGGGGAUAACCUACCUAUAAGACUGGGAUAACUUCGGGAAACCGGAGCUAAUAGCGGAGAACAUGUGUAACCGCAUGGUUCAACAGAGAAAGACGCUCUUGCGGUCACUUAUACAGCGAUCCACGCUGCAUUAGCUAUUUUGUAAGGUAACGGCUUACCAAGGCAACGAUGCGUAGCCGACCUGUGAGGGUGAUCGGCGACACAGAGACUGAGACACGUUCCUGACUCCUACGGGAGGCAGCAGUAGGGAAUCUUCCGAGCUGGGCGAAAGACUGACGUAGCAGCGCCGCGUUAGUGAAGAAGGUCUUCGGGUCGUAAAACUCUGUUAUUAUGGAAGAACAAAUUUGUAAGUAACUAUGCACGUCUUGACGGUAGCUGAUAAGAAAGCCACGGCUAACUACGUG
rnacentral:rRNA from 1 species